rnacentral:rRNA from 1 species
UACGUAGGGUGCGAGCGUUGUCCGGAAUUAUUGGGCGUAAAGAGCUUGUAGGCGGUCUGUCGCGUCUGCUGUGAAAAUCCGGGGCUCAACCCCGGACUUGCAGUGGGUACGGGCAGACUAGAGUGUGGUAGGGGAGACUGGAAUUCCUGGUGUAGCGGUGAAAUGCGCAGAUAUCAGGAGGAACACCGAUGGCGAAGGCAGGUCUCUGGGCUAUGGCUGACACUGAGGCGCGACAGCGUGGGGAGCAAACAGG